CAUGAAGGCCAAGUCAAAAAGUGAUACAUACAUGAAACCUAACUCUGCCCUGCUUCCUAGUUAGAUGAAGAAACUGAAGCUAAAAUAUCACAGGAUAUAAGUGGGAGACCCUGGGAUAAUAUAGAAUCAUAGCCUGGAUGAGGAUGGGGCUGGCUGAAGAAAUGAAACCAAGUAAAUUUCCAAGUUAAUAGACUGCCAAACAGAUAUUCUGGGAAAACAGGCAUUUCUUCUCAGGGGCUAGAACACUGAAAGCUACAUGUCAUCAGGGCUCUGCUUUGGAUUCUGCCAAUGUGAAAUACUCAUGCAGAGUUGGAAAACAUAAGGAGAAGCAUUUAUUGUCCUUUGGAUGAGAGGGAGAUUGUCAAUAUGCAACCUGAUAAUGGAUCUGAGAAGACUUCUAGACUCCAAUGUCAGGCUGUCUUCAAGAAGAAAUUGAGCGACCCCUGAUUUCAGGAACAUUACAUGAAAUCUUGGAGAGCAUUCAUCUUUACAUUCAUCUUGGAGAGCAGGAUAAUAUCUGAGGGCAUUGGAGGAGAAAAGACAGAAAAAGAAAGGCAAGG
rnacentral:lncRNA from 1 species